rnacentral:lncRNA from 1 species
ACCGAAAUCCUGCAACCAAAGUCCUGCACCCAAAGCCCUGAUGCAAAAUCCCACGCCCAAAGUCCUGCACCAAAGUGCCGCAUUCAAAGUCCUGCACCCAAAGUCGUGCACCCAAAGCCCUGCACCGAAGUCCUGCACCCAAAGCCCCAUACUCAGUUCUGCACCAAAGUGCUGCACCCAAAAUCCUGCAAUCAAAGUCCUGCACCAAAUCCUGUGCCAAAGCCUUGUGCCAACCUCCUGCACCCAAAGCCCUGCACUCAAAUCCUGCACCAAAGCCCUGCAGCCCAAAUCCUGCACCGAAAUCCCACACUCAAACCCUGCAGCAAAGCCCUGCACCCCAAAUCCCAUACCCCGUUCUGCACCGAAGCGCUGCACCCAAAGCGCUGCGUUGCAGUCCUGCGCUGCAAUCCUGGGCCAAAAGCAGGUGCCAAAGUCCUGCACCAAAGCCCUGCAGCGAAGUCCCACAUGCAAAAUCCUGCAUCCAAAAUCCUGCAACCAAAGCCAUGCAGGAAAACCCCACAGCCAAAGUCCUGCACCAAACCAUGCAGCAAAGCUGCAGCAAAGCCCUACACCCCCAAUGCUGCACCCAAAGCACUGCACCCAAAGCCCUGCACCGAACAUCCUGCAACCAAAGCCAUGCACUGAACAUCCUGCAACCAAAGCCAUGCAGGGAAACCCCACAGCCAAAGUCCUGCACCAAACCAUGCAACAAAGCCCUACACCCCCAAUCCUGCACCCCCAAUGCUGCACCCAAAGCCCUGCACCGAACAUCCUGCAACCAAAGGCAUGCAGGGAAACCCCACAGCCAAACUCCUGC